rnacentral:misc_RNA from 1 species
CUUCCAUAUUUGCUGAAAAGGUAUUCAAGAUCUCUUGACCGUGUACGAGAAGCCAGAUGACCAACAUAUAGACGUGUAUUGGCAUAUCGAUCAUCAUAACGCGGCAUUUUUUUUCAAGCUGAAAAGGUGAAAGCCCUAAAUUCAGAUUGAAGGCUCAAAGGGCCAAGGUCUUCUUCUUCUCCGCAGGAAGAGGCAAACGAUAGGGGCG